rnacentral:rRNA from 1 species
CUUCCGUAGGGGUAACCUGCGGAAGGAUCAUUAUCGAGUUUUGAACGGGUUGUCUGCUGGCUCGCAAGGGCAUGUGCACGCCUGUCUCAUCCACUCUCAACUUCUGUGCACUUUUCAUAGGCCGGCUUGUGGGUGCGUUCGCGCACUUGUAGGUGUCGGGCUUAUGCUUUACUACAAACGAUUCAGUUUUAGAAUGUCAUACUUUGCUAUAACGCAAUUAUAUACAACUUUCAGCAACGGAUCUCUUGGCUCUCGCAUCGAUGAAGAACGCAGCGAAAUGCGAUAAGUAAUGUGAAUUGCAGAAUUCAGUGAAUCAUCGAAUCUUUGAACGCACCUUGCGCUCCUUGGUAUUCCGAGGAGCAUGCCUGUUUGAGUCUCAUGGAAUUCUCAACCUUCAGCUUUAUUGAUGAAGGCUUGGACUUGGAGGUCGUGCCGGCUCUCGUAGUCGGCUCCUCUGAAAUGCAUUAGUGCGAACGUUACCAGCCGCUUCAGCGUGAUAAUUAUCUGCGUUGCUGUGGAGGGUAUUCUAGUGUUCACGCUUCUAACCGUCUUCGGACAAAUUUCUGAACUCUGAGCUCAAAUCAGGUAGGACUACCCGCUGAACUUAAGCAUAUCAA